rnacentral:rRNA from 1 species
UACGUAGGGUGCGAGCAUUGUCCGGAAUUAUUGGGCGUAAAGAGCUCGUAGGCGGCCUGUCGCGUCGGAUGUGAAAGCCCGGGGCUUAACCCCGGGUCUGCAUUCGAUACGGGCAGGCGUGGAUUCGGUAGGGGAGAUCGGAAUUCCUGGUGUAGCGGUGAAAUGCGCAGAUAUCAGGAGGAACACCCGUAGCGAAGGCGGCACUCUGGGCCGGAACUGACGCUGAGGAGCGAAAGCGUGGGGAGCGAACAGG